UCUAGUACUUAUACACCUGUAAAUGUUUAGGUUUACUUUCCAAGGCUCAGCCUAGUGCAUCCUGAUAGGCUGGAGAUCAGGGAGUGAUAUCCCUUUUUUGGAAUGCUGACAACCCAAGCCAGUAAUAGAUGUCACAUUAACCAAAUGUGAAAAUUACAACUGUUUAUCUUUUUAAAUGAAUGGAGGAAUUUUCCAUCGGCGUGAUUGACAACAAGAAAGUUGCAAACCACUUACACUUAAAGGUUGAUGCAGUAAGAAAGAACCUUUUCCUUGUAUUCAGAGAAACCUAAAGAGGUAGUUGUUAAUUUUACUUUCAGAUGUAAAGCAAGACACUCUGAUGGUUCCUUCUUACGGUUAAGCAAUUUUCCCUGUAAGAAACAAGGAGUUUCAAUGUUGAGGAAAACAGAACUGAUUGAAUUUCUGCUUGCCAUGGAGCUGCUGAAGGACUGAUCAAUCUUUAGUGGGCUAAAUAGUCCAGUGAGCUGGUAUCUGGGUUGAGAGCCAGAGAUUCAGAGUUCUAUUCCCCACUGUGCCUUGUGGGAGAAGAGCCAGCCUUGUGAAGCUGCA